AUUGAACGCUGGCGGCAGGCCUAACACAUGCAAGUCGAACGAGUGGAGGACGGGUGAGUACUGUCUGGGCACCUGCCCGACGGAGGGGGAUGACUGCUGGAACCCGUAGCUAAUACUGCUUACCACCGGAUGUGCCCACAGGGGAUUAGCUAGUAGGUGGGGUAACGGCUCACCUAGGCGACGAUCCAUAGCUGGUCUGAGAGGAUGACCGGCCACACUGGAACUGAGACACGGCCCAGACUCCUACGGGAGGCAGCAGUGGGGAAUAUUGGACAAUGGGCGAAAGCCUGAUGCAGCCAGGCCGCGUGUAUGAAGAAGGUUUUCGGGUUGUAAAGUACUGUUAGUGAGGAGGCGGUACUCGCAGAAGAAGCAACGGCUAACUCCGUGCCAGCAGCCGCGGUAAUAC
rnacentral:rRNA from 1 species